UCUCACUUCUCUCGUUCUUUUCACAUCGUCAGCUGGACAUUUCCACCUGAAUGUUUCAAUAGCCCUUCCAGUUCACAGUAUAAAAUGCUGACUUGAUCAUCUUUCCUGCUCAAGAAAUGCUCAUUUUUUGUUUCUAAAUCAAGUGGCUGUAUCGUCACAAUGUUGAGAGUGCUGUUAUUCCUGUGUUCAUCAGCAAGCCACAGCUUUCUCAAAGAUGGUUGUCUCAAAUGAGUGAGAAGAGAUGCUGUCCCUAGGGGAAGAUGUUCUAACUCCAGUCUUUUUAAGAGAUUAGGUUUCCCAUGUGGAAGACUCGAAAAUCCAUGGGACCUGUGAGGGAAGGAGACUGAAGGAAGAGACAAGUAGAGGAAGCUGAUGAGAAGCUAUGAAGCAGCAGCCCUGCGGAAAGGCUUGGGAUCCAGUCACACGAGCCUGUAAGAGUGAUUUCUCCUCCAUGUCAUAACUCACCUGAUCCCAGGAGACAAAGGGAUAGAAGGUCCCAGUUGAUGUGGCCAGACCUCUAGGAUGGCCUAAGUGGGAACCUGGAUGGUCUUCCAUGAUCCAUUCAUUCCUUAAAGACUGUCCACUGGUGCCCAGAACUACUGUUGGUAUUGGGAAUAACACAGGGAAUAAAGACAUCUGCAUCAC
rnacentral:lncRNA from 1 species